UGGAAGCUGGCGGGCAUCUGUUAUGCUUCCAUUCCUUGACAGGCCCAAUGAGUAGUCUGGAAGUCCCCAGAAUGUACUUUUCUUUGAAAUCGAAAGUAAAUCCGUCACAACAAGCCCUCAGAAUUCAAGCAUGAACCUUUUAUUUGAGGUUAAGAGCAGUAUAUUUAGGGGAGCCAUUAAAAGGAGCCAUCUUAAAGAUUUACAUAUACUGUAAACUAUAAACAUAGGUGCUGCAAAGGAUGAAGGAAUGUGCCGUCAACGUUGGGAGGAUUGCAUUAUUUUGUAGUGUUCAGGGUGAUGCAGCUUUGCACCAGGGAUGUCAUUGAGCCUACACUAGCUCAUCACCACAGUGACAGAAUUACCACAGAAUUAAGAAUGUUGCAACACCGACUUGAAUGGUAAGUUGCUACAAAUUAGUAUCUAUUCAUCAGAGGAGCUGUUUUCUUGAGUGUUCUUUCUGGCUGCAUUACUUGCCAAAAGGCUCUUAUGACUGAAGUCCCUAGCACAGACUCUGAAAAAGCUAACAUUUAUCGUUGGAGGGGGGAAGAAACAUUCCCUCUUGAGAAUGCCAUUUAACAUAAGGCAAACAUCUUUCUUUUGACAGAUGGGAAUGUAAUCUCCAUGUAGUCUUUCAGCUUUGUUUGACAGUUAGCUUUGAAAGCUGGAGAGAGCUGAGCUGUCUCUGUGCAGAACGAAGCAUGCAUCUGAAACGCUAGGUAUGCCUGUGCCACACAAUGCACUUUAAAGAUCCUAGGUCUAUAGGCAUCAGUGUCAAAGUAAACUUACUAGCCUGAAACAAACUCAGAUAAAAGAUCUGUCCAAUGGAUUCUGGAAUAUAAAGAAUUUAUUUUCCUCAUUACCCUGAGUGGUAAAAUAAGCCAGUUGUCUGUAAAGAAGCGGAGAGAGGAGAGUUGAGAGUGUAUGAAAUCUUAUUCAAUUUCAAAAUUCUUGCAGUAUAAAGAUUAAUUCCAAUCAGGGGAAGAGACAAGAUGAGAACUCUUAGUCUGCUGGCUGUCAGUCCAGUGUAGCUUUGGUAAAGCAGGCAUAAAUGGGAUAAGUAGUUAAAGAUGCUGUCGUAAUUUUUAAGCACAGAAAAAGAAGAAUAAUUUUACAUGGAAAAAUUGGAAAUGGUUUAACAAAGAUCUAAAAAAAAAAAAGAAAAAAGUGACUUCUGGAAAUCUGCCCCACAGUAGGGGAAUUUAAAAAGCUCAUCCAAGAAAAGUCUAAGGCAUGGCUUGACCCC
rnacentral:lncRNA from 1 species